AAUUUGUGUGCUAUGCCGCUGCAUAACGGCCAUAGGGGAGUUGCUCUGCGAAACCCUUUCCUUCUCCCUCCCUGCCAGUAGUUGCCUUAGUGACAAAACUAAUCGCUGCUGGUGCCCCUGCUCCUGUGAACAGGAGAAAAACAAAACCAUUUUUAUUGCUGUUCCAGCAAUCCUCUGCAAGUCCAACCUCAAGACGAAAUGUGCUGAUUAAAAGAUACGCUGCAGGUACUGGAGGAACACAAUGAAAAGGCAGAGUGCAGUGAAUGAAUCUUGUCUCUCAGCAGUGCUAUUUGGAGAACUUCUUGAAGCCAGUGGAUUUGUGUUUGGAGGGGAGGAAUUGAAUCUCCAAUCAAGCAGUUUUCAGACCAACUCACAGGAUACUUAAAAUUACAAUUUACCACUGCCUAUGUAAUCCAGGAUGGACAAGGUGAUGGCUUUUCUGGAAUAAUUGAAACAUCUCUUAUCUGUAUAAAAUGUUCCCCAUCAUUACUUCACAGUGGAGCAUAACUGGGCUACUUGAAAGGAACUACCACUAAGAUGCAGGUUUUUGGGACACCCAGGAAAGAAAAAAUGAAAGUGAAUAAUAGGAAAAAUAAAAAAUAAAAAGUCAGACUUGGAGAUUUCUGCUCUUUCCACUGAACUUCCCUUUGGAUGAGUCAGAGGAAGGUGGGAAAUUAUAAGAAGAUCACCCUGUGAAGAUCUAUGAAAAUCUAGUCAGAUAAUCAACUGAGACUGAAGAAUGAUUCUUCUCACCCUGAAGUGCACAUCUAAAAUAGAUCAGACAGUCAAACCUCAGAAUUGUUGGCUGUUAAGUGAGGUCAGCACGACUAGCUUUGUAGCAGAAGUUCACUACAGAUGUCUAAAGCCAGAUGAGAAGUAUCACCUCAUUAAUUAAUUCAAGCACAGUAUGAAUGUAGUAAAGGACCAGCGCACCAGCAAAGGCAGCUAUACAAAAGCUCUUCUGUGUGUUGAUAGGCAGUAGAGGUGCCAGUGAUAAAUUGGGCUGCACGUGGAACAAGAUUAAAAGUAUUAAGUUGGAGUGCAUUGCCUUGUACGUGAAUUUACUGAGUAGCUUCAAAGGGAAUGUAUGUUCAGUUAUGAUGGUUUGAGGGGAAAAAAAUUUUGUCAUUUUGUAUUGUCACAAAGGAAGACAUUCUACGUAAGUGCUAGAAGAUAAGGGAAAUCAUGGAAAACCUGUUAUAUGAAGGAUUCAGAAAGACUUGGAUUGUUAGCAUGUGGAAGGAGACAAAGAAAUAUAGCAAUAAAAGCUGGGUUCACUGUGGUUGUAUGCUUGUUUUGUCACAGAUGUUCAGGGCACAAACUACCCUAACAAUGGCAUCCCUAAACUUGGUGUCCAGAUCUGAGAUAGUCACCUUGGGCUGCAAUAGAAGGGAAAAUGAUUAUUCUAUACUUACCAUUAGCAAGUGAUAUUCUUCCAUGUCUUGGAAAGCAGGGUCUCAAUGGACAUAGCAGCCAUUUGGGAGGACAGACAAGUUGAAAAGUGGUACAGGGGGUCUGCUUCUCCUCUCACUGUAGAAAUGAGCUAUGGACCUCACUGUUGCAUCAAUUGACUGACACUGCUCCAAGAUGAGUAAGAUUCAAAGAGAAACAGUGAUUACAUGGCUGAAAAGAAUAUCCAGAUAUAGCACAAAAGAUAAAAUUACACAGGAAGGCUAUAAAAUCUUCAGAUUUGAAAAGAUCAAGAUAUCCUUUAUUUUUUGUUGCUCAGAAGAGAUAAUCUGGGUUACAGACUGUAACGUCUGCUUAUUACAAACCAUUUUACACUUUUCUCCAGUCAAUGUUCUUUCUCAGGAAAGAAGUCCCUAGGCUAUUUCUCUGAUCCUAUAUGGACAUUUUUAUGUUGCUAGAGAAGAUGGAAGUCUCCAUUUGUGUUUAACAUGGGAUUUCCUCUUCUAGAUGGAAAUCAUCCAGUCUCAUUGAUUAAGUGCAAUUUCCACACACUUCAGUACAGCUCUGCAGGAUUUAAUGACUGCACCCAGCUGAGCAAUAUUCUCUGGAUUUGAUUCACUAUACAUAUUAAUUUUAGAGCCUGUCUCAAAUAACCUUCAUUGAUUUCUUCAUCAUAUAUACAAGUCUAACCUUGUUUGACUGGUUGCUUGAAAUGCAGUGCCAUUAUUCAGUGGAACAGGAAUUAAGACAGGCUGAUGUGGCUGAACAGAAUUAACAGUUUAAAAAAGUUGUCUGUCUGUGCUGAUGCAUUUGAGAAGAAAAGUGAUGGGGAUUCUGAGCACAGCGAGACCUGCAAGGUGCUUUGUAAAGCAAGUUACUUUCAAGAGAGAAAAAAAACCCAAAAACUGUCUGAAUGGUACAUUAGGCAUGAUCUGAUAAUAACCCCAAAAAUGUCUAAAAUGGAUACAAAUUGCAAAUCCACAGCUGUGACAAUGCAACUAUGGAUUUCUGGCCUCAUAGAUUUAGAGGAGCAAUAAAUGCCAUUGCCAAACUAGUUAAAAGCAACGGCUGAAAGUGUGUAAGUUAGACUAGCUGGAAAGUAAAUGUUUGGAAAAUGCUUUGAGAUUUCAUGUCAUUUCCUUGGGAUAGAACACUCUGAGGCAUCAGUAACUUCAUUUUCCAUUGUGGUGAACUUCAGAGCAAAAGAUUUAAAGACAAUCUCUAUAUGCUUUCUCCCAGAAAACUAUAAGCUUAAUGACCCGUUUUAUUAAAAGCUGAAUUCCAGGAAGUCUAAGUAGUCAUGGUGUGUUUUUUAUUUGUAAUGCUUUCAUCCGUAAGCACUGUUAUUUUUGUCCUUAUCCUGUACCUCUUAGCAAGCUUGCUUUUCUUGUUAUGAG
ensembl:lncRNA